GACGAACGCUGGCGGCGUGCCUAAUACAUGCAAGUGGGACGCAAGGAAACACACUGUGCUUGCACACCGUGUUUUCUUGAGUCGCGAACGGGUGAGUAACGCGUAGGUAACCUGCCUAUUAGCGGGGGAUAACUAUUGGAAACGAUAGCUAAUACCGCAUAAUAUUAAUUAUUGCAUGAUAAUUGAUUGAAAGAUGCAAGCGCAUCACUAGUAGAUGGACCUGCGUUGUAUUAGCUAGUUGGUAAGGUAAGAGCUUACCAAGGCGACGAUACAUAGCCGACCUGAGAGGGUGAUCGGCCACACUGGGACUGAGACACGGCCCAGACUCCUACGGGAGGCAGCAGUAGGGAAUCUUCGGCAAUGGACGAAAGUCUGACCGAGCAACGCCGCGGGAGUGAAGAAGGUUUUCGGAUCGUAAAGCUCUGUUGUAAGUCAAGAACGUGUGUGAGAGUGGAAAGUUCGCACAGUGACGGUAGCUUACCAGAAAGGGACGGCUAACUUCGUG
rnacentral:rRNA from 1 species